CAACCCGAUCCCAUCCCGAACUCGGCCGUUAA
rnacentral:rRNA from 1 species